UAAAAGAUGGCAAGAGUGCCGCAAAUCGUAACGACUGCCGAAAAGUCAAAGAAGCAAUCAAAACGGCGCGCCCAUGAAAAGAUACACGUUGUACGUCGCCGUCGAGAUCGAUGCAUUUGUCAAUAAUCUAAAAGCUGUGUGCCUUAGCUCGGAGGUGCUCAUAAAGUGCUAGCGGAUAUAAGCACGUCUGCCUAUGAGUUCGGUGUGAUUCAUCACUGUAUCUAUAUGAGAGCUUAUCAAUUACCUUUAUGGGAUGUUUUUUUGCAACAUGUUGAGGAGGCAGGGCAGAAUACAUCAAAGUGAAGUACUACAACUCAAGGUCACUUCUUGCCAACAGAGCUAGGCGUCCAAUCCAUUUUGACUAGGAGGGGUGAAUUUAAUUCCACAUCAUUCAUUUCUCAUUGGAAAUGAAUGCAGUCAUUGGAUACAAAUGGGGAUGCCUUUGACAAAUUUUGGGGAAACCAUAGUAUGUUAAGAAAAAUGGAUCACAUUGCCGCCAAAUUGUAUGCUCCUGCUCACAGUCACCAUAAAUAUCAUGUCUAAAUACGGGACUGGACGGCUGUCUUGCGUCAGAGAACUUGGUAAGCCAAACGGCUGCAGAAAAAUCUUUAGGACGGAGGAUCUGUAGGAGAGAGAGGCUUCAAAAGGUUCCCAUUCACCGGUGGAUAUUGGCCAAAACAAGCCCUACUACUGUGGGACUGUGGGACUUACGAGGAAGUGCUGGCGUUUCUCCAGUCAUCCUCGUGCAGAGCCCAGUAAUGCCUGGUUUGAAUGGUGUAAUGGAGAAUAGGACUGUUGUGGUCAGCUCCUUUUGUCCACAACAGCUUCACCCACGUGUCUCCGAUGUCCUCGAUACGGAUUACACCAGGAGGUCCCGGGACACCUAAGGCAUUUAUCAACAGGAUGUCAACAAUUUUGAGUCUAAAAGUACCUGGAUACUUCCCACCCUUGUUCCUCUUGAUGAAGCAGACGAUGAGGAGCACCAGGAUGAGCAGAGCGAUGGCGCACAUCAGCCCGAUGAACCAGCCUUGGGUGGCGAUGUCCACAUGUCGACUAGGUAUGUGUGCCAGCAAGAGGAGACUGGAAAUGUGUGGAGCAAUGCUAGUGUGCAGAACUUCUCCGUUGAUGGGCUGACAAUAACUUUCAACACAAGGGAAGCCUUUAAUACACUUAACUAAGUCUGACAUUGGCCAGAUUCCUACUUUUGAAUUGUUAGUGUUUACACAUGUGAGUCCGCUUUGCUUGGGCCUCUGACAACCCGAGGGACGUUUUUGCUAGGGUGCAAGACAGCAGCAGCAAAUUGAUUGAUUUUAAAUUAAAUUAUAUUCAUCUUAAAGAGAAAAAAAUGCUGUCUUAAUUAGAAAUACUUGACACUUGUGGGUGUCGAACUUUCAGGCAAGAAAAUGGAUCAGGGGUUAAAAAAGUGAGAACAGGGUAUUGAGGAAAUAUGUUCCGGUACUCUGUACAACUAGAGCUGUCCCAAACAACUAUUUUUACGAUUAGUCGACUAAUUUACUAUCACCUCCCCCACCCCCCUUUUUUUUUUUCUUUACUAAUUUAGCAUAUUAAAUUUUUGAUGACGCUGAUUAAUUCACAAAAACAUUUUGGAACACUUAAAUUCUUUAUUAAAGUACAAAUAAACACGUAAAUAACAACAAUAAAUCACAAAUAAACAAUGAGGUCAAAUGCUGAUAGCAUUAACUAGUGCAAAAGAAUGUAAUGUAAACCGAUUCAGAACACUGACUCCGCCUUUCCAACCUAAUUCAAAACAAUUCUUUAAAAAGAUAUAUAUCAUUAAUAUUAUAGUAUACUACUAUAUAUAUAAUAGUAGUAUAAUUAUUCAUUGCCAAUCAGAUUUGUCAUAAGGGGUGUCAUUUUAAAGCUAUUCUUAGUGAAGAAUCUGAAGUAUGUGGGAUUAACUUCAGAAAUCAUUAUUUAUAUGAUGAACAUGACGUGCUUUUAUUUUGAAAUGUCCACCGAAAGUACGCAAACAGUAAGCUUUACACUCAGCUAAAAAAGCUCUUUUUGUCAUUGCAUGUGGUGUCAGCAAUCAAUUUUUUUUCUCUCUUUUUUUUUUUGGUUUGCAAAUGCUGUUAACCAGCGAUUUUUCAUUUUUUGAAGUGUCACCUUUUAACCGCAAGUUUGCGUUUUGGAGAUGACUUCCAAUGUUUUAUAGCAUGCUAAAGUAGGUUGUGUUUUUUCCCCAUUAGCCUCAAUGUAGCAAUGCUAACGUUUCCAGUGUUUAAUAUGGAUGUGUUUCCUUAUUUUCUAUGUCUGAACUUUAAUUCUGCGGCGUGUUGAUGACCAAUAAACAUCUGUAAAAGGAACUGUUGUCUCAUAUGCCAUCAGCACGCACGCACGAUAAAACGCAUCCGUGAAAAUUACCGCGCUCAUUUUUAUUUGCCGUGCGAUAAAUGGACUCAUUGCAUAUCACGACAGGCUUAGCAACUUCAAUAAAACAUGUCGCUAGUUAGUUGAAAUGGACUUACGAUCUGCAAGCUUGUAAUUGUCUCCUGUCGUCUUCCAAAAUUACAACUGGGUGACGUGCAGCCAAGCUUGGCAUUGAAGAGACGGGACACAACAGUGUACCCUCCUUUGUUCCAUUGAAAUAAGUCAAUGUUUUGGCCACUCUGGUGUGCUUUUUUGGCUUUGUGCGGCUUUCCCCGCUUGCAUACCAAGCGUCCGUCUUUAAAAAAAAUCCCCCCCCUUAAAAAUUUUCUCCUCGGAUCUACACAAUUCACGUAAGUCAUCAUUUUUUACUUAAAAACGGCAAUUUUCGCCGAAAAUGUUUCAUGCCUGAUUAAUGUCAACAAAGUUCCUAAAAAAUGUCCUCAAAAUAGCUCUCAAUAAAUCUGUUAAGCGAUGAGUCGCGCAUUGGUGAUUAAUCUUACUUCAUUUUUGCGAAUAAACAUGCAAACUUUCAAAUUUUCAGCAAAUGAGAGCGCCUACACAGAUAAAAAUGAGAAGUGGAGCAGUUGCUAGGGAACGUGCUGAGACAAUUUUGCCCAGCUUUUCUUUUUUUGCACUCCAGCAAAAGCGUAGGAGGGGGGGAGACAGACAGCUCCUGCCACUCCACACAACUACCAAGGAGGAAUGUGCGAAUAUGGAACUUUGUCAUGCCUCAUCAUGUAAACAAAGCCCUGUGAGACAGUUUGCUUUACCGGAAAUACACUGUAUUAAUCUCGCCCAUCAUUUGUUUCAUAUUGCCUGAUGGUCGGGACUUAAACCAUGUUUGGCACUUCAUUUCAUUACAAAAAAUAAUGACCUUUAUCACAAAAUGCUAUUUUUUUAGAAGGACUAGUACAGGUAUUUUGGUUUGCAAAGAUGACAUUGUCUCUAUCUUAUGACAACUCAUUUUUUUAUUCCAUGAAAUUUGACAGUGACAGCGAUUGGAUUAAAGUGUUGGCAAAUCACACGGCUGACGCAGGCUUAUUUCUUUGAAAAAGACGAAAAACCUUUGGUCAGAUGAAGUUGGAUUGAAAUAGCACAUCCAAGUAUGAUUUACAUAUCUAGAGGUUAAGAAUGAACACUAAAGUGCAUG